rnacentral:rRNA from 1 species
AUUGAACGCUGGCGGCAUGCUUUACACAUGCAAGUCGAACGGCAGCGCGGGCUUCGGCCUGGCGGCGAGUGGCGAACGGGUGAGUAAUGCAUCGGAACGUGCCCAGUAGUGGGGGAUAGCCCGGCGAAAGCCGGAUUAAUACCGCAUACGACCUGAGGGUGAAAGCGGGGGACCGAACGGCCUCGCGCUAUUGGAGCGGCCGAUGUCGGAUUAGCUAGUUGGUGGGGUAAAGGCUUACCAAGGCGACGAUCCGUAGCUGGUCUGAGAGGACGACCAGCCACACUGGGACUGAGACACGGCCCAGACUCCUACGGGAGGCAGCAGUGGGGAAUUUUGGACAAUGGGGGCAACCCUGAUCCAGCCAUGCCGCGUGCGGGAAGAAGGCCCUCGGGUUGUAAACCGCUUUUGUUCGGGAAGAAAUCCUCUGGGCUAAUACCCCGGGGGGAUGACGGUACCGGAAGAAUAAGCACCGGCUAACUACGUG